rnacentral:rRNA from 1 species
GAUGAACGCUAGCUACAGGCUUAACACAUGCAAGUCGAGGGGCAGCAUUUUUAUAGCAAUAUAAAAGAUGGCGACCGGCGCACGGGUGAGUAACACGUAUCCAACCUGCCGAUAACUCGGGGAUAACCCUUCGAAAGAAGGCCUAAUACCCGAUGGCAUAUCCCUUCCGCCUGGUUGAGAUAUUAAAGAACUUCGGUUAUCGAUGGGGAUGCGUUCCAUUAGCUUGUUGGCGGGUAACGCCACAGGCUCGAUGGAUAGGGGUUCUGAGAGGAAGGUCCCCCCACAUUGGAACUGAGACACGGGUCCAAACUCCUACGGGAGGCAGCAGUGAGGAAUAUUGGUCAAUGGACGAGAGUCUGAACCAGCCAAGUAGCGUGAAGGGAUGAAGGUCCUAUGGAUUGUAAACUUCUUUUAUACGGGAAUAAAGUGCAGUAUGCAUACUGUUUUGAUGUACCGUAUG